AAGGAGGUGACCUGGGCUUCCUACACUGCAGUAAGCAGAUUUAUAAAACCGGAGUGGGUGUAUCACAAGCAGAAGCUCUCUGAUCUUCACAGCGGGAGGAAGGAGUUUCCUCCAACCAAAACCUGCAAUGGUGCCUGUCUCUCUGCUCCACACUGGAAUUCAGAGCCUAAAUGCCCCUGUGCAUCUGGAGUCCUGCCCGGAAGAAUAAUGGAUAGAGAAGGACAAGGGAUGUGGGGAGCAAAGAGGGAUGGUCAGGGGUCCUGAGCACCUGUGGGAAUGAGAAAUUGUUAUAAACAAUGUCCAGGCUUGGUGUGAGACCACAGGAAGAGGAGGUUGGACUGGAGGCACCUUUGGCUCAGGUCCUGCCAGGGAAGCUUCCUGCAGAUGAUCCCAUCUGGGUUCUAGCACUGGCUCUAAGGAGAUAUGGGGAAGAAACCUCUUCCUAGGAACCUCUUCCUGCUGGGAUGGACCAGCAACAUCCAGCUCAUCUGCUCUUGACCUUUGCAAACAAUAAAGGUUUCAUGACACUGUGA